UACGUAGGGGGGCUAGCGUUGUCCGGAAUCAUUGGGCGUAAAGCGCGUGUAGGCGGUCCGGUAAGUCCGCUGUGAAAGUCGGGGGGCUCAACCCUCGGAUGCCGGUGGAUACUGUCGAGCUAGAGUCCGGAAGAGGCGGGUGGAAUUCCUGGUGUAGCGGUGGAAUGCGCAGAUAUCAGGAGGAACACCGGUGGCGAAGGCGGGUCUCUGGGCCGAUACUGACGCUGAGGAGCGAAAGCGUGGGGAGCGAACAGG
rnacentral:rRNA from 1 species